GAUGAAGAACGUAGCGAAAUGUGAUAAGUAAUGUGAAUUGCAGAAUUCAGUGAAUCAUCGAAUCUUUGAACGCACAUUGCGCCCGCCAGUAUUCUGGCGGGCAUGCCUGUCCGAGCGUCAUUUCAACCCUCAAGCCCCCGGGCUUGGUGUUGGAGAUCGGCGAGCCCCCCGGGGCGCGCCGUCUCCCAAAUAUAGUGGCGGUCCCGCUGUAGCUUCCUCUGCGUAGUAGCACACCUCGCACUGGGAAACAGCGUGGCCACGCCGUAAAACCCCCCACUUCUGAAAGGUUGACCUCGGAUCAGGUAGGAAUACCCGCUGAACUUAAGCAUAUCAAUAAGCGGAGGA
rnacentral:misc_RNA from 1 species